rnacentral:rRNA from 1 species
CAAUAGCGUAUAUUAAAGUUGUUGCGGUUAAAAAGCUCGUAGUUGGAUUUCUGCUGAGAACGACCGGUCCGCCCUUUGGGUGUGUAUCUGGCUCUUUCUUGGCAUCUUCUUGGUGAACGUUGCUGCACUUGACUGUGUGGAGCGCUACCCAGGACUUUUACUUUGAGGAAAUUAGAGUGUUUCAAGCAGGCAUACGCCUUGAAUACAUUAGCAUGGAAUAAUAAGAUAGGACCUCGGUUCUAUUUUGUUGGUUUCUAGAGCUGAGGUAAUGAUUAAUAGGGAUAGUUGGGGGCAUUCGUAUUUAACUGUCAUAGGUGAAAUUCUUGGAUUUGUUAAAGACGGACUACUGCGAAAGCAUUUGCCAAGGAUGUUUUCAUUGA